UACGUAGGGUGCGAGCGUUGUCCGGAAUUAUUGGGCGUAAAGAGCUCGUAGGCGGUUUGUCACGUCUGCUGUGAAAACUGGAGGCUCAACCUCCAGCCUGCAGUGGGUACGGGCAGACUAGAGUGCGGUAGGGGAGAUUGGAAUUCCUGGUGUAGCGGUGGAAUGCGCAGAUAUCAGGAGGAACACCGAUGGCGAAGGCAGAUCUCUGGGCCGUAACUGACACUGAGACGCGAAAGCGUGGGGAGCGAACAGG
rnacentral:rRNA from 1 species